rnacentral:rRNA from 1 species
AGUGAACGCUGGCGGCGUGCUUAACACAUGCAAGUCGAACGAGAACGGGAUAAGGCUUGCCUUAUUUGUCAGCUAAGUGGCGCACGGGUGAGUAAUGUAUAGGUAAUGUGCCCUAGAGAGGGGGAUAAUUGAUGGAAACGUCUUGUAACACCCCAUAUGCCUUUAAGUCAAAAGACUGCAAGGGAAAUAUUUAUAGCUCUAGGAUCAGCCUGUAUGGUAUCAGUUUGUUGGUGGGGUAAUGGCCUACCAAGACUAUGACACCUAACUGGUUUGAGAGGAUGAUCAGUCACACUGGAACUGAGACACGGUCCAGACUCCUACGGGAGGCAGCAGUGGGGAAUAUUGCACAAUGGAGGAAACUCUGAUGCAGCAACGCCGCGUGGAGGAUGACACAUUUCGGUGCGUAAACUCCUUUUAUAUAAGAAGAUAAUGACGGUAUUAUAUGAAUAAGCACCGGCUAACUCCGU